GCACUGCUGACGAGUCCAAAACAGGAUGAAACAGCUGUCCAGUGC
rnacentral:hammerhead_ribozyme from 1 species